UCUUUGCUCGUAUAUCGGUUAGUACACGCGCCUGUCAUUGCCAUGUUCCAGUAUGUCCGGUCGCGCGAAAGCUGGGUUCGACUCCCAGGCAAAGAG